GGGCCAUAAAAGUGCAUCUAAUCACCGUAUUGUAUAGGAUGUGUAGUAUAAAUACUUCUGUGCAUUAUAAGCUUUGAAAUUAUUGUUUAUCGAUCGAAUUUGAUCCAUUAUUUACAUAGAUUUCAAAUACUAAAGAAAACGUAAAUCUUAAAUGGACAUAUAUGUCCUCUUGGGACUCGGUCGGUGGUGGACGUAUAUGUCCGCUUGGGACUCAGAGGGUUAA
rnacentral:lncRNA from 1 species